AGUAAUUCAAGUUCGGCUUUUCCUUAGUAUUUUUUUCUAACGAGCGAUUUAAAGGUUUUCCAGUCCAAUAUACUUUAUACGCUGUAUACACGGGCAAAACUAAUCAUUAAGUGUAGUUUGAGUUGCACGAGGAUUCCCGCAAUCCCGCGUCUCCUAUUCACUCGGUUUUCAUUUUCUGAUGCGGUACAAUCACGCGGCAAGCUCGUAAGCAAAUCACGUCUAAAACUUACUAUCGAUUGUCUUGGGAAGUAUCAAAAAGUAUAAAACUCAUUUUCACGGCGGUGUUACAAUCGUAACGAUAUAUUAUUAUACAUCCGCCGCCUCAGCAGUCAGACAC